AGCGCACGUGAACCGGUAGCAAGUCGGGGGAAGCGAUGCUUUUCAUGGUCAGUUGCUGGGGUUAUUAAUCUGAGGAGAAGCGCUGUUUGGUGGGGAGAUGUCAGCUGUAGCAGAAAAGUCAGCGGAGUCGAGACGCUUGUAGAGCCUACACAAACUAAACAGAAGAACCCCCAGCAUGAGUCAUCUGGUCUGGAUCAGCACAAAAAUGGGGGGAGCUGCUUCUGAAGUGAGCCCCAAUAUGGAGUGUAACGCAAAUAGAACUGAGAGUGUCCUGAUGGAGAGAGCAGGCUCACCUGCACCCAGCUGUGUUUCCAUGAAGACUGACAGGUCAAUGCACUGUCCAAUCAGCUUCAGAGAGGGAACUUUUCCAUCAGAUCAAAGGGACCAGGUGAAAAGAUGUAAUUCAUAUCCACAUAAAGGAGACUUAUCUAUCUUCAAGG